rnacentral:rRNA from 1 species
AUUGAACGCUGGCGACAUGCCUUACACAUGCAAGUCGAACGGUAACGGGUCCUUCGGGAUGCCGACGAGUGGAGAACGGGUGAGUAAUAUAUCGGAACGUGCCCAGUAGUGGGGGAUAACUGCUCGAAAGAGCAGCUAAUACCGCAUACGACCUGAGGGUGAAAGGGGGGGAUCGCAAGACCUCUCGCUAUUGGAGCGGCCGAUAUCAGAUUAGCUAGUUGGUGGGGUAAAGGCCUACCAAGGCAACGAUCUGUAGUUGGUCUGAGAGGACGACCAGCCACACUGGGACUGAGACACGGCCCAGACUCCUACGGGAGGCAGCAGUGGGGAAUUUUGGACAAUGGGCGCAAGCCUGAUCCAGCAAUGCCGCGUGCAGGAAGAAGGCCUCCGGGUUGUAAACUGCUUUUGUCAGGGAAGAAAUCUUCUGGGCUAAUACCCCGGGAGGAUGACGGUACCUGAAGAAUAAGCACCGGCUAACUACGUGCCAGCCGCCGCGGUAA